CGCGGAUCUUCAUUAUCAUUGAACAGCCAAUGAUGAUUGAAGCCAUUUCAAAUGAAGAUUUAGAAUGACAAUAGUCAAUUGCAGACUCUUUACAAUCCGUGUAUGGGUCGCUCAUUCGUUCUUCCGUUUCAAAAUAAAAUCUAAAAACCCAAGAAACCGCCUUGUUUUUUGUUUUUCAGUUUCUAAAACCUAAAUGCAGAAAUGUAUUAUUUAACUGAUGAAAAAAAACACAGUGUUGGAUUUUUGCUCUAGCUUUUUAAACCUGAAAUACAAAAUACGGCUGUUGUUUUAUUUUUUGCAACACCGGAAGUCACCGUGGAAGAACAAUUUAGAUCUGGUCGCAAAACCCACACAGAAAUCAGCGACAGUUUAGCUCCACAUUGCUCGAUAAUGAGUGUUACAGUGUUACAAUCAGAUCCGACACAAUCCGGAUUGUGUAUAUUUUGGCAAUUGGAUUUUCCGUUCUGAAACGGAUACUGAAAAACAACAAACGAGUGGUUAUUUGAUUUUCAUUUUAAAAUACAAAAAUUAAAAUUGAAAUACAAGGCGUUUUUCCUUUUCAUAAUCAAAACGGGAUAUACGAUAUUUUUAAAAUGCUUUAAUUUUCAUUUUAUAUUUAGAAUAACAAAAAAAUAAAAUCAGUAAGAGACAGAAACGAAAAAAGGUCAGUUUUUUUUCAUUUUCUGAGACCGGAAAUGGUCAUCAGCAAGUGUGGAGCCAACGGACAACAAGCUUCUCAGAGGGCGGAGCCAGAGAGCAGUGAUUGGUCAGACCAUAGAAGACCAUAGAAGACAGCGCGCAGGCGUAUCUAGUCUUCUAUAUAUAUAUAUCUAUGGUCGGCACGUCUGCUAGCAUCUCUGGCUGCUGUUGGAGUAAGACACGGUGGAAGCUGAAUUAGUGAGGAUGACUCCUGCUCCUGUCAUCUCUAAGCUCCUCACAGAUCUUUACCUGCACAUGAGGAAAAUCACUCCUGUAGAAUGCAGAUGUUCAGAGGGAGAUGAUGCCACAUCUGGUCCAGCUGAUGGAAGGUCUUGAAGUUCUCUGACUGGCCUCGACUGAAGAUGGUCGUCUCACUGGAUUUAAGGUUCAGAUGCUCAGUAACAAACUCCACCAAUGUGCCAACAGGGAAGCUUUAGGUUUAUUAAAUGUUGCUAUGAAGGUAUCACUGUUUUUCUUUGUGAAUGUAAUUUGCUCCAACUGAAACUUGAAUUAGAACUUAGAAGUAAAUCCUUCCAUCUGAAAGGAUUUAGUUGCAUUAAUAACCUCAUAACAUUCUAAUUUUUCUUCCAGUCUUGGUUGGAAAUAGAAUCUCUGUAUUGAUUCAGGUAAAAACUGAACUUCACAGCAUGUUGGAGCAAAACAACCAGAUGAAAACUGUGAUGGUGUUGGAUUGUCAGACCGUAAUGUUGCAGCUCAAAGUAGCUUUUCUAGCUCAGUUCAUUCUGACAUUCAGCUAUGAAUCAACACAGCAGAUGGUGAUCCAUGCUGUGGAAGUCUCACAUCUCCUGAUUUAAUGGAGCUGCUUUGCACUUUUUACACUGUUUAUUCACCAACACUUUAUUUAAUAAAAGUCCCAUCUAGUUUUCAUGAGGAAUGUGAUGUUUUAAUUUCUCUGUGAAUAACUGCAGUCUAAUGCAACAGCUGGAAUUGUAACAUCUGUCCUGAUAUUGAUCAUGAAGUAUUGAUCAGAAUACUUAUGGUCAGCAGUCAUCCGUGAAGUUUUACAUUAAAUUCUUUACUUGUGUUGUGAACUUUGGUAAGAAGCAGAAACUUUAGCUUUGCCAUGGAUACAUGAGUGUUAAAUUCUGUCCAUGUUUCCAUUUUGGGAAAUUCAGUCCAGUUCCAGAAUGUGGAGGAAUUUAGUCUCACAAUCACAGACAACAAAUAUUAUCUGAAAGUCGGGUUAUUGUUGUUUAUCAGCACAAUACAAAAAGAUUAAUGUUAGAAAUAUUCCAGUUAAGACUCUAGAAUAUCAUGAUUUAUGUAAAUUUACCUCAAUAAUAUGAAUGUUCAGGUUAAGAUUGUGCAGUGUUAUUUAUUAUGUAACUUUAGCUGAUUGAAGUUUAUGACUCCACUACAAUAUUAUUUAAAUUGACAUCAUUAUUAUAAUAUUUAGGGUCAGACCCUACAGUAUUGAGAUUAAGAAAUCAAAUAUUCUAUAAAAUGUAAAUACACUGAACUCAUUUGGAUAUAUUUAAAUGAGACUCUACAAUAUUAUUUGACACAAAUCUAUCUAAAUCAAAAUUUUAAUAAUUUUUACUCCAGACAUUUACUGGAGUGAUUUAAAUAUUAAAAUCACUCCUUUCUAAUCCUCUGCUGUACGUUCAAACCUGAGGCCUUAAAUAGAAACACACAAGUAUCUGUUUGAAGGAACUUCUGCAGAGUCCUGGUUCCAGAACAUGAUGAUAGAAUUAUAGACAAACUUUAACAAAAGCUGCCUGAGAGUUUACAGGUUUUUAUGUUGGAUUUCUUCAGUAAUUUAAUGAGAGUUAUCAGCAAAAAUCAAGUGUUCAUUUGAUGAACUUCAUUUCCUAAAACAUCCAGAAUUGGAGCUCAUAUCUUUGGCAGCUGUAAAGUUUCUGCUCCUUCAAAGUUCACAACACAAUGAAUUAAUUCCUAAAACACUCUCAAUGCUGGAGAGUGUUUGUGAUGCUGAAGCAGUGACCAGUUUUUCUGUUGCUUCUCUGGAGAUGCACAAUGAGGGACGUCUGCAGUGACUGAGAAAGAGUCUCACCACAUCCUGACAUGAGGAAAAAGACUUUAUUGAAGACUACAAUAAGAAAAACUAUCAGACAGCAGACGGCUGCAUUCAAGGUGAGCUCUGAACAUCUAAUCUGGAACAGGAAUUCAAUAAUGGCAGUAUGAGCUUCAUUUCAGUCUGUAGCUGCUGAAUUCAUGGAUGAAUCAUCUGGCACUAGAGAAGAAGACCAUCAUACAUCCACGUCAGCUGAUGGAGGUCCAAGAGUCUCACUGAACAAACAACCUACAGAGUGAAGACCUCAAAUCUGAUUGGACGGCCUCCUAUUCAGCCACAUGUGUGAACAAAUGCCUCUAAGUUGAUUUGUUUUCUAAAAUAAAUCUAGUUUGAGUCCUAA